AUUGGAUUGUCAGGGUGUGUUUUAAAAAAUUUUUCCAUUCUAAAGUAUACAUAACAAUUAUAGAUUACUUUGAUCACAGUAGAAUAUGGAUCAAAUCUUUAGAGGUUACUUGAAUCCGAUACCUCACGAGGCCUAAAAGCACAAGCCCUCUACUUCGCGUGCACGCCGGCUCUGUAGGGAAGAGGGAUGAUUCUUUUAGUACCAAUUUUUUAAAAAGGCAGUGAAGAGGA
rnacentral:lncRNA from 1 species